rnacentral:rRNA from 1 species
UACAGAGGUCUCAAGCGUUGUUCGGAUUCAUUGGGCGUAAAGGGUGCGUAGGUGGCUUGGUAAGUUGAAGGUGAAAUCUCGGAGCUCAACUCCGAAACUGCCUUCAAUACUGCCGGGCUCGAGGACUGUAGAGGAGAAUGGAAUUCACGGUGUAGCAGUGAAAUGCGUAGAUAUCGUGAGGAAGACCAGUGGCGAAGGCGAUUCUCUGGGCAGUUCCUGACACUGAGGCACGAAGGCCAGGGGAGCAAACGGG